AGUGUUUUUUUUAUCAUCGGAAUCUCCUGCCCAAUCACUAUCGCUAUAUCCAAUAAGUUUGUAGUUACUAUAACUGGAAUAGAACAAGCCAAAGUUAAUAGUACCUUUAAGGUAUCGAAGAUUUCUUUUGACCAUCUUCAAAUGUGUAGUUGUGGGAUUCUCCAUGUAGUGACUGACUAAUCUGACGACACAGAGAAUAUCUAGUCUUGUGUAAGUCAAGUAGCGCAAGAUUCCAACUAGACUUUUGAAAAAUGUUGGAUCUACGCUUUCUCCUUUGUCAUGCUUGGUUAGUUUGACUCCGCACUCCACUGGUGUGCUUAUGGGCUUGCAGUCGUCCUGUUUGAACUUUUUCAGUAUCUCCUUUGUGUAGUUUUCUUGGGAGAUGAAAAUACCUUCUUCGUUCUGUUUGACUUCAAUGCCUAGGUAGUAUGCCAUCAACCCGAUGUCAGUCAUCUUGAAUUCUUCAAACAUGUUUGGAUUAUUUCUUGUGAAUAUUAGAUCAUCCACAUAUAAGCACACAAUCAGAAUAUCUUCAUCUUUGACUUUGACAUAGAGAGCAUGUUUAUGAGGGCACUUGAUGAAGUUGUUCUCUUGAAAGUACUUGUCGAUGCGACUAUUCCAUGCUCGUGGUGCUUGUUUUAACCCAUAGAGGGCUUUCUUCAGCUUCAGAACUUUGUAUUCAUGCCCUUUGAUUUCAUAGCCUGAUGGUUGCUAAAUGUAGACUUCUUCUUCAAGGACUCCAUUUAGGAAAACGGACUUCACAUCCAUUUGUUGAAUCUUCCAUUUGUUUUGAGCUGCCAAAUAAAUUAGUAAUCGUAUCAUUUCCAAACGAGCAACAAGUGCAAAUACCUCAUCAUAGUUGAUUCCGGCUCUUUGACUAUAGCCAUUUGUCAUUAAUCUAGCCUUGUAUAUUUCGACCUCUCCGUUGGAAUUUUUCUUUGUCUUGUACACUCACUUAACUCCGAUGGCUUUGUGUCAUUUCGGAAGAAUAGCGAGUUCUCAUGUAUCAUUCUUCUAGAUUGCUUCAAUUUCUUCAUCCAUUGCUUUCCUCCACUUAGUAUCUUGCACUGCUUCUUGGAAGUCAACUGGUUCACAAUCAGCAAAGAGACAGAAAAUCAUAGGAUUAUCAAGUCUUUUAGCUACCUCAUAGAGAUCUCGUAUACUUCUUGUGCGUGUGACUUCUCUUUCAUUUAGACUCCCUGUUGAACAACAAAAAUAUACAAAAUAAAAAAUAGAGUCCAUACAAAUUUGGUCAAACUACAAGGUAAAACAAAAAUGUUAUUCAACCCAAAAGAUGAGGAUGGGUUUUACAUACAAAUCAACAUCCAUAAAUAAAUAAAUAAAUAAUAGAAUAUGCAUUUCUUCCUACAAAAGGGGAAAGAAGCGUACAAAAAACAGGUGCUCCCCCAUUUUCUGCAAUAAAAAGAAACGUGGAGUCAGAAAUAGGGGUUAACAGAAAGUGGCAAGAGGUGAUGGCCUCCAUCUCCCCCCACGUAACAAACUCUAGAGCCUUCCUAGGAUGCCUAUAAAUAGGCAUCAACUGCAGCAAGAGAAAAACACAGAAAAUGAGAGGGGAAACUCUGCAGAAAAAAUAGAGAAACUUUGAGAGAAAAUACCAAAAGCAACAAGGUGCUGCCAGAAAAGAGAGCAAGCAGUUUGAUCCUUUGUGCUUUCGAGUCAAGAUCCAAAAGAAGAAACAUUCAUCACCAGGUAUGAAACAAGUUCUAUUAAUUUAUUUAUUUCUCUUGUUUGAUGUUGUGUUGCAGACAAAAAUGAAGAAAAUAGGGUGUAAUCAGUUACCUAGAGUCUUUAACCUUCAGUUUAUACAAGAAAAUUGCAACAUUUAAAAGAGAAAUGAAGAAAAGGAUCUGGAGUCCCCACUGACAGCAGCAGAAAUAAUCUCCAAAAUCCCAUGAAUUUCUUCGAGGUGGCCUAAACCACCCCGUGAAGUUCCAAUCAAGUCUAAGAAAUCCGUAUUCAUCGUCCAUCCUAAGAAAGAAGGAACCAUUGGUGUCAUGGCAAGCAAUAGAUUUGUAAAGAAAUAACAAAAGUUUCGAAUCCAAAUAUCGACCAUAACCUGUUUUUGUUAUUCAAUCAACAACAGUGCAUGAUAAGAGCAUAUUUAUACGACUUAGUUAACAUGUUUUCUUGCACUUACUUAGUUAGUUAUUGCUUAUAAGAGUGUUUUAAGCUAUUUUCGUGUGUUUGUAGGUCCUAAUGGCAAAGUUGGCAAGAAAGUGCAAUUUGGAGCAAUUUAGAGCAGUUUUUGGCCAAGAUUGGAUAGCUUAUGCAUGGAGCAAGAUGGAUGGACGAAUUUGAAGUCAAAAGAGGCUAGAAACACUCACCCACUACACCCAUUACAUCCACUCAUUACCACAACAUACACUAUCCUCUCCCUAGCCUAUAAAUACAUCCACAAUUCCCCUUCCUAAAGGGGGCCAUCAUCCAAAGACACUACAAAUCCAUCCAAGAAGCUACAUUCACAAACACUUUCAUCCCUUUCCUUGUCGUGACCUCCAUCCAUUCAUCUAGCCAUACUACAUCUAACCAAUCCAUACACUUUCAUCUCUUAGCCGUGAGAUCCAUUCCAUCCAUAUAUCCAUACACAUCCUAGACACUUGUGUUGCAACAAGGUGGUGAAAACAAAGGUCCUUGGCGUUUCAAGCUUGGAACUUUGGAGCGUUUUAGGUGUACUUCGUUCUUGCUUUCAAUGUCUACUUUGUUAUUUUCUAAUUUUGUUGCAAUUAUGAGUGGCUAAACCCCUAUUUAGUUAGGGGGAAGUUUGAAGCCAUGAACAGGCUUGAGAUAUGAAUUGAUUUCUUCCAAUUGUGAUUUGAUAAGUUGUG
rnacentral:lncRNA from 1 species